UACGGAGGGGGCUAGCGUUGUUCGGAAUUACUGGGCGUAAAGCGCACGUAGGCGGAUUGUUAAGUCAGAGGUGAAAUCCUGGAGCUACACUCAGAACUGCCUUUGAUACUGGCAAUCUCGAGUCCGGAAGAGGUGAGUGGAACUCCUAGUGUAGAGGUGGAAUUCGUAGAUAUUAGGAAGAACACCAGUGGCGAAGGCGGCUCACUGGUCCGGUACUGACGCUGAGGUGCGAAAGCGUGGGGAGCAAACAGG
rnacentral:rRNA from 1 species